rnacentral:rRNA from 1 species
UGAACCGGGAAGAGCUCAAAUUUGAAAUCUGGCGUCCUCAGGGCGUCCGAGUUGUAAUCUAUAGAGGCGUUUUCCGUGCCGGACCGUGUCCAAGUUCCUUGGAACAGGAUAUCAAAGAGGGUGACAAUCCCGUACUUGACACGACGACCGGUGCUCUGUGAUACGUCUUCUACGAGUCGAGUUGUUUGGGAAUGCAGCUCAAAAUGGGUGGUGAGUUCCAUCUAAAGCUAAAUAUUGGCGAGAGACCGAUAGCGAACAAGUACCGUGAGGGAAAGAUGAAAAGCACUUUGGAAAGAGAGUUAAACAGUACGUGAAAUUGUUGAAAGGGAAACGAUUGAAGUCAGUCGUGACCGAGAGGCUCAGCCGGUUCUGCCGGUGUAUUCCCCUCGGUCGGGUCAACAUCAGUUUUGUCCGGUGGAUAAGGGCGGUAGGAAGGUGGCACCCUCGGGUGUGUUAUAGCCUGCCGUCGCAUACAUCGGGUGAGACUGAGGAACGCAGCUCGCCUUUAUGGCCGGGGUUCGCCCACGUCCGAGCUUAGGAUGUUGACAUAAUGGCUUUAAACGACCCGUC